AUUGAACGCUGGCGGCAGGCCUAACACAUGCAAGUCGAACGAGUGGCGGACGGGUGAGUACUGUCUGGGAAACUGCCUGAUGGAGGGGGAUAACUACUGGAAACGGUAGCUAAUACCGCAUACCAUCGGAUGUGCCCAGAUGGGAUUAGCUAGUAGGGGGGGUAACGGCUCACCUAGGCGACGAUACCUAGCUGGUGUGAGAGGAUGACCAGCCACACUGGAACGGAGACACGGUCCAGAUUCCUACGGGAGGCAGCAGUGGGGAAUAUUGCACAAUGGGCGCAAGCCUGAUGCAGCCAUGCCGCGUGGAUGAAGAAGGCCUUCGGGUUGUAAAGUACUUUCAGCGGGGAGGCGUUACCCGCAGAAGAAGCACCGGCUAAAUACGUGCCAGCAGCCGCGGUAAUAC
rnacentral:rRNA from 1 species